GAUGUCACUGAUUGUUGGUUGUUAUUGAUCCUUUCAAAGAAGUGGUGUAUUAUCUGAAUUCGGUAGAUGGUGAUUGGACAAAUUAUCCAGAUAUGAAGUUAAUGAUUAAUACAUCAAUACAAGUAUUCGGCCCUCAAAGAGAAACUCGAGUAUCACGGUUUAGAUCAAGCAACAUUAUAUGGAUCAAAGUGGAGUGUGCUCGUCAGCGUAACAGUAAAGAUUGCGGAUACUUUGUUAUGAGGUAUAUGAAAGAAAUCCUUCAUUUUA